rnacentral:rRNA from 1 species
CAUCCUCCAAGGCUAAAUACUCCUGACUGACCGAUAGUGAACCAGUACCGUGAGGGAAAGGCGAAAAGAACCCCGGCGAGGGGAGUGAAAAAGAACCUGAAACCGUGUACGUACAAGCAGUGGGAGCACCCUUCGGGGUGUGACUGCGUACCUUUUGUAUAAUGGGUCAGCGACUUAUAUUCUGUAGCAAGGUUAACCGUAUAGGGGAGCCGGAGGGAAACCGAGUCUUAAUUGGGCGUUAAGUUGCAGGGUAUAGACCCGAAACC